UACGUAGGUGGCUAGCGUUGUCCGGAAUUAUUGGGCGUAAAGAGCUCGUAGGCGGCUUGUCGCGUCGGCUGUGAAAACUCGGGGCUCAACCCCGAGCCUGCAGUCGAUACGGGCAGGCUAGAGUCCGGCAGGGGAGACUGGAAUUCCUGGUGUAGCGGUGAAAUGCGCAGAUAUCAGGAGGAACACCGGUGGCGAAGGCGGGUCUCUGGGCCGGAACUGACGCUAAGGAGCGAAAGCGUGGGGAGCGAACCGG
rnacentral:rRNA from 1 species